CCUACGGGUGGCUGCAGUGGGGAAUAUUGCACAAUGGGCGCAAGCCUGAUGCAGCCAUGCCGCGUGUGUGAAGAAGGCCUUCGGGUUGUAAAGCACUUUCAGCGGGGAGGAAGGCGGUGAGGUUAAUAACCUCAUCGAUUGACGUUACCCGCGGAAGAAGCACCGGCUAACUCCGUGCCAGCAGCCGCGGUAAUACGGAGGGUGCAAGCGUUAAUCGGAAUUACUGGGCGUAAAGCGCACGCAGGCGGUCCGUCAAGUCGGAUGUGAAAUCCCCGGGCUCAACCUGGGAACUGCAUUCGAAACUGGCAGGCUAGAGUCUUGUAGAGGGGGGUAGAAUUCCAGGUGUAGCGGUGAAAUGCGUAGAGAUCUGGAGGAAUACCGGUGGCGAAGGCGGCCCCCUGGACAAAGACUGACGCUCAGGUGCGAAAGCGUGGGGAGCAAACAGGAUUAGAUACCCCGGUAGUC
rnacentral:rRNA from 1 species